GAUGAACGCUGGCGACGUGCCUAACACAUGCAAGUCGAGCGGAGUAAAGAGAGCUUGCUCUCUGAACUUAGCGGCGGACGGGUGAGUAACGCGUGGGAAACCUGCCUCAAAGAGGGGGAUAACACUCCGAAAGGAGUGCUAAUACCGCAUAGACUAUGUAGCCGCAUGGCUGAAUAGUUAAAGAUUUAUCGCUUUGAGAUGGGCCCGCGUCGCAUGAGCUAGUUGGUGAGGUAGAAGCUCACCAAGGCGACGAUGCGUAGCCGGACUGAGAGGUCGAACGGCCACAAUGGAACUGAGACACGGUCCAUACUCCUACGGGAGGCAGCAGUGGGGAAUAUUGCACAAUGGGCGAAAGCCUGAUGCAGCGACGUCGCGUGAGGGAAGAAGUAUUUCGGUAUGUAAACCUCUGUCCUAUGUGAAGAAAAAGACGGUAGCAUAGGAGGAAGCCAUGGCUAACUACGUGCCAGCAGCCGCCGUAAGAC
rnacentral:rRNA from 1 species